CUGACCUCCGCCGACUAUUGACAACGCGAGCGUCUCGGUCGUUUUCGCGCUAGAGGGUAACACCGAGCCUAUCCAGAGGCUCUGACACCCAAACUGGAGCGGUCCAAUCUCGAGGAGCCGCGACCGCGAGCCGAUCAACGUCAGACUUGGGAGAAUCCUUUGCAUUCGCGAGGUGUCGUGUUCACGGAGUCUACUCUCGCUAAUUCUCAUUCUACCGUCGCUAGACGAGACGACGUCGACGUCUAUACUAGCCGAAUCGUUGGCGAACAAAGAGUUGAAGCGAAGAUCUGACGAAUGUUUGGCAAUCGAGGUACGUUAAGCUUUCGUUCGCUACUGGAAAGGAACAGAGGGUCGGGUGGAUCCAUCGCGUCCUGACGGGUCGCACGAGUCCAGACGUAGAUGGAGAAACGUAGAGGCGGACAAAGCACCGUGCAUUUAGAACGGGAAGGACAACCGGGGUAGGGGUGGGGGGAGUCUGGUGGCGCACCACGCGACCGCAACGAUCAUCGAGAGCAUCGCCGAGUCCGUGGAUCAGCGGAUGGCGGAAAAUGGGACGACCCCCACUCCCUCACCGGCCGUGGUGUGCGUCGACGAACGAUCUCGUACCGAUUAAUCCUGGCUCGCUCGCGUCUCGUGGAUCGGCGAGGGUUCCUCCUGGCGUUAUCUGGCCCGUGGCAGGAGGGUGGUUCCGUCCAUCGCGUUUCUGGAUCGUAUCGUCCCAAGGAUCGAUCGCGGUCCGGGUGGCACACGCGCUGACCGGUUGCGGAACACGUCCAGGAAACUAGUUUCCGAGGUUCGCGUACACACAAGGACGUGGAUUCACUUGGCGAGGAGCGAUCGCGCUAGGACAAAGUCUUGGACCGAGACCCGAAGAGAAUCUUUGGUCUGGCCUCUUGACGGUCGAUCGUCUGACUCGAUGGCUACCCGUUGCCAGUCCACUGCCUCUAACAAGGUCGUUGCGUCUAACCAAUUACGUCGCCUCGUCGAAGGACGACCUUCCGAAGGACCAAUGUCGUCCACCGAGCGUCACGGAAGUAAGUUUCCUCCAAACAUCGUCUGACGCAUUUGAAAAGGAUUGGAGACGAGAUACGAAGAGAUUCGGAAACAAAAUCUGUCCAAGUUCCCUCCGAACUUGGCCGGGUGUGUUUAGAAGGAUUCGAGGGGGAAUCCUAAGAGAUCCCCAGACGCCGAGUCACCUGGAGGGUGCUUUUCUAACGUUUCACGAUUAAGGCUGUACAGGUUCUACUCUAUUGGAAACGAUGUAAAAAUGUUGAUCGUCCUUCAAAUAUUAUCCUGUUCGUCCGCUGCUACGAUUUAAUCAAUUUUCCUGAACAAGAAGUACCUAACCCAGGCCUUUCCACGGAUCUUAACCCAGGUCACGGAGCCUCAUGGAAUCGGCUAACUUAAUCCUCGCUCGAUUACUCGAACCCUACGUCUCUUCCCUGAGGGAUCGUGAACUUGGGCUGAAUCUUUGUUCCGCGAGCUGCGAUUCCCCCGUGAAAGAAGAUCGAUCAAAGUUUUUGCUUGAAAGGGUGCGCAACCCCUGAACUUCUGUCAGGUGUUGCGCUGGUCGUGGCAACCCGCGAAAUGAUCCUUUUUCGCUGUUCGGGAUUGUUCGACAGGAGGCACGUGUCUCUGGAGGGUGACUCCAACGAGAGAACGAUAGGGCGAGUAUCGGAGAGAAUCAGAGGUAAAUUUAAGCCUCGAACUCGAGGAACUUAUUUUUCGACGCGAAUCACCGCAACGUCUACUCCCUCGAUACGUCCAGGCCCUUGCGCGCUACAUCGCUACAUAGCGUGAAAAUGUGUGCAGAGUUCGUGGCUGGGAAUCUUGACUCCCGACAUUCAAGUGCGCUACCGUCUUCACCCUCUAUUGUCUCUACGACCUCGCUAUAUUUCUGCCAGUGUCCCUGCAUCUUCAGAACUUUCCUCCAACUCCCUACCUCCGUGGCGUGUUUGCGUACACGUUGCGUACCGAGUUCUUUUCUUUGGCAAUUUUUCAAACACUCGUCAUUUUCAAACAACUUUUUAAACAAACUCCGUAGGAAUGUUAUUAAUUUGCAACUUUGUUAAACAUGCGACAAAACGCCUCGUUUGAACGAGAUUAAGAAUUGUAUGAAAUGACGGCGGCCGCCAGCGAGGAACGCGAAAUUUCUCAGUCUACUUUCAAAUAUCAUUGUGAAUUAGUAAUCUGAACUUGCAUCGUUUUAUCGAGAAACGCUGCCAACACUUCUUUAUCCCUAUACGGAGUGUCGCAACUAACGUGACCACCUUAAAACACCAGAGUAAACCAUUAUUUCUUUGGUUAAAGAUAUUUCGUCAAAGUCGUACUCGACGUUUUCUUCGUUGAGACAGCGUAGCUUGCGAAAAGGUAAAGAAAAUGUUUGGUUCGAAUAAAAAAUGGACCAAGUCGUCCGUUUGAAAAUGUUAAUGACCGAAUCUCGUAAGGGGGGUGAACCAGGUCCAAGGGUGUAUUGUAAUACAGGCUGAUCGAUCAGACUCUGACGUUCUCGAGGUAAAGGAGAGACACGCGGAAGAAAGCCGAAAAACGACAGAAGAAGAACAGAGUGAAAAAGAGAGGAGAGAAAGAGUUGUACGAGGGUGGUUCGAUCGAAGUUGUCGAAGGGAGGGCGCCACCUUGCCGGACACCCCGUUUACAUCGGCUCCAGUGGUUCGCGCACUUAUCACCCUAUCGUUACCAUAGUGGCUUAUCAUUCCAUUUAACGAAUCGUCCAUAGUAACUGGAGAGGUUAGCCAGAAAAUCGAAACAGAACUCAUCUGGGCCCGAGGAAUAAUUCUCCAAGUAAUUAAACGUCAGCUUUUCCUUC